CAAGAAUUGAUAUUAAAACGAAAAAUGCCAUUAAAAAAAAGGGCAGGGACAGACUAAAGCAAAAGCGGGAAAAGCAUCCUCAUUUCCGCCAUUUUUCACGGUCAUCCUCAUUUCCGCCAUUUUCACGGUCCAUUCCUUUCUUUUGUCCGAGCGGGAAUUACAUACCUGUUCUCACCUGUGCUCUCUGUCGACGGUAAGACAAUCGGCACUGCACCUCUAGGGAAAACCUUCAUCAUUUCCCCCAAUUUUCCCAUUCCAUUCCAUUCUUUGGCAAAGAGAGAAUUACAUCCAUAUUCUCACCCAUCAUUUCCUUCGACGGCCGGCCCCCCUAUUAGAUGAUGAUAAACUACUAGAGUCGGGUUUUUGAGGGUUUGCGUGUAACCUUACAAGCAGGUCUUCACCGAUUAUUGUUGGGUUCGAAUUCUGUUGCCAGCCAUCAAAAUUAGAACGAGGAAGCCACAAGCUUUUCUAAAAUUUAUCAGCUAUUGAAGGUAUCUCUCUGCAAAGUCUUUGAUUUGUUCAAAGUUUUCGACUCGAAUGUCAGUUGUAUCAACUAAAUUUACUCAUGCACAUGUUAUUAGAUGUUUCAUUCGACAAAUCCUGAAUAUUGAGAAUAAAAUAGAUGAAAUUGAAGAUCAUUGUAAAUUUUUAUUUUCCUUCUUUAAAUCAGUAUGGUAAUUCGAAAUGCAAUAUGCCCUUUUUCUCAAUACCUCUCACUUCAUAACAAUGGUUCAGAUUAUGUUGCCAACUAUAGAAAUUAUCAAACAACAUUUUAGUUCCUAUUUUAUGCUGCAGUUCAGAACAUUGUAGUUUUGCUCUACUUGGAUAUUCAAUAAACAUGUUACAUGCUUUGAUAUCUAAGUUUUUCAAUUGGUUAUUGUGAACUAGCAAAAUACAAGGUUAGAAAUGGAAGAGCGCAACAACACAAAAUGCUAAAUUUGGUGUUGAUUGGUAGAGCUCGAUGUGGUAGGAAAAAUAGGAUAAAUCGUACUUACUCAUGGAAUGUAACAUUUACUAUAUUAGGUGAUUCUUUUUUUGAUAAGUAUAUAUGAAUUGUGAACUUACAUUUUACCGUGGAAUUGGUGUAUGUGAUGACUAACAUUACAGCUUCUUUUCUUGUAACAUAGGAAAUUAUGAAAACUGGAAAUGAGGAACUUGUUUCAAAAUUCGAUAAUGACAAUGCCGUCGAGAAUGUUAUCGGGGUGGAAGAAGAAACAUUAGGACACAAUGAACCGAUUGUAUUUGUGGUGGGUAUGAUGUUCGACAACGAUAAAGAAUUGUUUGACUUCUACAAGAAGUAUGCAUAAGAUGUUGGUUUUCAGUUAAAAAAAGAAACUCGAAAAAGGGGGAUGAUGGACUGUUGAAAUAUGUGGCCUUGACAUAUAUUCGUGAAGGUCGAAGAACGAGUAAUGCAAACGGUUCUUGAAAUCCACAACCAAUCAAUCAAACAAAUUGUAAAGCAAGGAUCUCUGCUUCUUCAGAUAGCCAUGAAAUGUGGAGAAUUAACACAGUCCACCUUGACCAUAACCGUAGAACUAGCCUUUCCAAGUCUAGGUUAUAUCGAUGCAACAGAGAGUUGAGCGCAAUAGUGAAACGAAAAUUUGAAGUGAAUGAUUUGGCAGGAAUUCCAUUACACAAAAGUUUCAACUCCGCAGUUGUUGAAAUAGGGGGAUAUGAGAAUAUGACGUGUGUAGAAAAGGACUGUCACAAUUAUAUUGAACAAGUAAGGCGAUUGCGACUUGGAGAAGGAGAUGUGGUUGCAAUACAAAGUUAUUUUUCAAAAACGCCAGCACGAUGCUUGGGUUUUUACUUCAAUAUGGAUGUAGACGAUGAGUCCCGCCUAAAGAACAUGUUUUGUUUUGAUAAUAGGUGUAGGCAGGCAUAAAUGGAGUUUGACGAUGUUGUCACAUUUGAUACCUCUUAUCUCACUAACAAGUAUGACAUGUCAUGAGCACCUUUUGUUGGCGUGAAUCAUCACGUUCAAUCAACUUUGUUCGGCUAUGGAUUGUUAUUGAAUAAGGACGCAGAUAACUUUGUGUGGCUGUUCAGGACAUGGCUUGAAUGCAUACACGGUAACGCUUCUCGUAGAAUAAUUACUCAUUAAGAUAGGGCCAUGCAAAAUGUUAUUGAGAUCGUUUUCCCAAAUACAAAGCAUAUAUGGUGUUUGUGACACAUUUUGAAGAAGUCGCUGGAGGAGUUCGGAUUGGUGUAUGAUUCACGGAAUAUUGAAGAAUUCAAAGCAUGUUAGAAAGAGAUGAUCGAGACACAUGAGUUGAUGGAUAAUGAAUGGUUGUCGGAGUUGUAUGUUAAUAGAGGUUGUUGGGUGCCUUGCUUUUUGAAAAUGACUUUUCAGGCAGUGAUGUCUACAAUUCAACGAAGUUAGAGUAUGAAUGCGUUCUUCGACGGUUAUAUCCAUUCAAAGACCUCGUUGAAGCAGUUUGUGAAACAGUACAAACGAGCACUCAUGAAUAAGGUCGAAAAGGAGUUCAAAGCUGAUUUCAAGUCAUAUUCACAAACUAUACCAUGCGCCACGAAUUAUGAAAUCGAAAAGCAUUUUCAAUCAAUGUAUACCAUUUCGAAGUUCAAAGAAGUCUAAGAUGAAUUCAAAGGUAAGGUAUAUUGUGAUCUCAUAUCUGUUUCAGAGGGAUCUUCUGGGACCAUGUAUGAGGUACGUGAGGAUGUCCUUAAUUACGAGUACUGGAAGAAGAAUUUUUUUUUUAUCUCAUUUGAGAGAGAGACAUCUAAGUUUAUAUGUAGUUGCCACUUGUUCGAGUUUUGAGACAUUGUUUGCAGACAUGUGAUUGCAAUAUUGAUUCGAAAUGACUUCAAACAAUUGCUUGUGUUAUACACUACGAAGGUGGAGGAGGGAUGUUAGUAGAACAUACAAAAGGAUUGCAGUGAAUCACGACGGUCUGGUCAGUACUCCCAGACAGUUGAGGUAUGACAGUAUGUGUCAAGCUUUUGCAUAGGUGGCUGACCUUGAUGUAGAUGAUGAAUGCCGGACACGUACGAUAUUGGAUUGGAUAAAAAUAUAAGUGAAUGAGCUUAUGUCAACGAAAUUGUAUAGUGCAAGCAAUAUCGUUUCGCAGCAUGCUAUACAUUUAUCAUCUCAGUGUACUCCUUCACAAACUACUACAAUCAAUAACAUACGGGAUCCAAAUGUCGCAAAGAAAAAGGGGGCACCCCGAAGACUUCGAAGAAAAAAUUCAUUGGAGUCAAAGAAAUUAGGGGUUUGUUCAUCUUUCCACAUCUCUAUUCUUCAAUAGCCAUGAAUUUGUACUAUGAUUUCAAUUUAUUGUACAUGCAGCCAAGUUCGACGGCAAGCAAAGGAAAGAGAUCGAGACCAAGGCACGGUAAUAAUGAAGAAGCUAUACCUGAAUUUGUAGCUUCGCAACAGCAAUAUUCAAUGCGAAUACCAUUCUCUUAUUCACAACUAUUGUUGGUAAGUACCAUCAUAUUAUUAAACUAUUUGUUUUAGGUGUUAUUUACAUUCUUUUUUAUGUAGGGCGAUGCCGAAAGCUUAGCGUGUACACAACCCUUGCCAACAUCUGAUGUGAUCCCAUCAUUUCCAACGACCAUCAUUUCCAACGAGUGUUAUAUUCAAUCCACAAGAUGAAGGUGAGGUUAAUUCAUUACAUUUCUAUAUGAUUUCUUCAAAUACGUGUACUAAUAUUUGUACUGUUUGACAGGUCACACGUUUCCUUACUACAAUAUGCAUAUGUCACUGCAAGGUUAUCCAACCUCAUUUAUAGUGUUGUAUUGAGAUAUUUAUGCCUCUAGUUUUGUGUUUUGUAUCUUUCGACUAUGUGGAAUUUGACGCAUGCUUUGUUCAUGUCCUUAUCUCAUGUAAGAUCAAAUUGGUUAUGUUUCUAGAGUUAUUUUGUUCAUGUAAUAUACUUGAUAGUUGUGUAUUCUUCUGGAAAGAUGCUUGCUAUGUUUAUAAAUUAUUUGAGCUGUUAUCUGAAUUCGGGGAACCCAUAUGUUCCUAUAUUUUAGCAUCAUCCCCAAAUUUAUACGCUAGGUAAUGCCCGAGUCAAAUGAUUGCUUGUUAGGAAUUUUGAAUUUGGAAUUGUAAGGUACUAGAAUGGUUUCUCUAGCUCUCUAGAAAUGCGGUGACUUUUCAUUUCGAUCUUUCUUUUCAUCGUACUAUUUUUUUUUUUUUUGGGUGCAUGUGUGUGUUGUGAGUGGAUGGGUUUUAAUCUAAAGUCCAAGCCAUUUGAUCUAGUUUUAGAGUUGUUUUAAUCCUUGUUUCUAUGUGGUAGAAUUCAAUCCAUUUUUUGUUUUCAUUCCAGCAUUAAAUGAAGCAUUAAUCGUGGAGAUACGACAUUUGAAGAUUGCAACUGCUGAACUAGGUGGCUAUACAAUUGAGAAGAAUUUGUAGCUUUCAAUAACUUUGAGAACAUCAUCUCCUUUACUUGUAGUUUUGUAAAGUUUGUGCAUAUGGAUAAUGUAGUAAUUCUUUUCAUAAGAGUGUUGAUCGGGUGCCAACUUCUACUUGUAUUUGUGUACAAUUUGUGCAGCUAUAAUCAUUC
rnacentral:lncRNA from 1 species